rnacentral:lncRNA from 1 species
UUUAUCUUCCUUUGGGGCAAAUGAUUAUAUUUUUGAUUCUUUCGUGUCGAAUGCACAUUGUAAUGAAAUCGAAAAAGUGAGAGAAAAAGAAAAUGAAGAGAAAGAAUUCGAAAAAGAAAUUGAGAUUGUACAAGAGUGCGAGCGAGAAAAAGAAAUCAAAAGAAAAGAAAAAGAGAUUGAAAAAGAAAAAGAAAUCAAAAAAAAGAGUGAGGUCGAAAAUAAAAUUGAAAACGAGAGAGGAAAUGAAAAGAGAAAAAAAGAAGUUGAGAUUAAAAAAGAAACGAGAGAAAAAGAGACAUAUGAACCAGAAAAAGUGAGGAGCAUUCCAACUAAUCCAUAUGAAAU